rnacentral:rRNA from 1 species
UGGGGAAUUUUGGACAAUGGGCGAAAGCCUGAUCCAGCAAUGCCGCGUGUGUGAAGAAGGCCUUCGGGUUGUAAAGCACUUUUGUCCGGAAAGAAAUCCUUGGCUCUAAUACAGUCGGGGGAUGACGGUACCGGAAGAAUAAGCACCGGCUAACUACGUGCCAGCAGCCGCGGUAAUACGUAGGGUGCAAGCGUUAAUCGGAAUUACUGGGCGUAAAGCGUGCGCAGGCGGUUUGCUAAGACCGAUGUGAAAUCCCCGGGCUCAACCUGGGAACUGCAUUGGUGACUGGCAGGCUAGAGUAUGGCAGAGGGGGGUUAGAAUUCCACGUGUAGCAGUGAAAUGCGUAGAGAUGUGGAGGAAUACCGAUGGCGAAGGCAGCCCCCUGGGCCAAUACUGACGCUCAUGCACGAAAGCGUGGGGAGCAAACAGGAUUAGAUACCCUGGUAGUCCACGCCCUAAACGAUGUCAACUAGUUGUUGGGGGAUUCAUUUCCUUAGUAACGUAGCUAACGCGUGAAGUUGACCGCCUGGGGAGUACGGUCGCAAGAUUAAAACUUAAAUGGAAUUGACGGGGUCAUAGCUGUUUCCU